GUGCUCGCUUCGGCAGCAUAUAUACUAAAAUUGGAACGAUACAGAGAAGAUUAGCAUGGCCCCUGCACAAGGAUGACAUGCAAAUUCGUGAAGCGUUCCAUAUUAAA
rnacentral:snRNA from 1 species